CUUGGUGUCAAGACCUUGAUCGACAAAAAAGCAUGGCCCUAUGUCAUGAAUGACCUUCGUCUCAAGGCUGAGUACCUCCGCUUUGACCUUAAAACUGUUAUUUCUUCCAGGCCCAAAGAUGAAAAGAAAUCUCUCGAUGAACUCACUAAAAAGCUCUUCAAUACCAUUGAUGGAGUAAGUUUUGAAGUUUACAGAUUAAUUUAUAUUAUUUAACGAAACAUUAUAACUUACCAUACUGAUAUGAAUUUUUUUUCCGUGUAGCUUGACCAUGCAGCCAAGAUCAAGAGCACCCC
rnacentral:lncRNA from 1 species